UACGGAAGGCAGCAGUGGGGAAUAUUGCACAAUGGGCGCAAGCCUGAUGCAGCCAUGCCGCGUGUAUGAAAAAGGCCUUCGGGUUGUAAAGUACUUUCAGUCGUGAGGAAGGUGUUAAGGUUAAUAACCUUAGCAAUUGACGUUAGCGACAGAAGAAGCACCGACUAACUCCGUGCCAGCAGCCGCGGUAAUACGGAGGGUGCGAGCGUUAAUCGGAAUUACUGGGCGUAAAGGGCACGCAGGCGGUUAAUUAAGUUGGAUGUGAAAUCCCCGGGCUUAACCUGGGAAUGGCAUUCAAGCUGGUUAGCUAGAGUCUUGUAGAGGGGGUAGAAUUCCAUGUGUAGCGGUGAAAUGCGUAGAGAUGUGGAGGAAUACCGGUGGCGAAGGCGGCCCCUGGACAAAGACUGACGCUCAUGUGCGAAAGCGUGGGGAGCGAAACGAGGAUUAGAUACC
rnacentral:rRNA from 1 species